UACCUUAGCAUACAUUAGACAUUAGCAUGGGCUAGACAGAUACAGACAACUAAAACAACAAUACAGACAGUGCUAACAAGACUUGGACAAUACAUGAACAAUCAAUGAGUGCAAGUGUAACUGUUGAGAAGGAACAGUUUGUAUGCCUUUUUGAAAUAUGUGAUGGAUGACAGUGAUCUGAUGUGAUGGGGAAUGUCAUUCCAGAUGUUGGUGUAUGUAUGAAAAAAGGAUUUCUGACCAUAGUUGUUUUUGUAUGGGGGGGGGAACUGGAAUGAGUGUCUGUGAGACUGACCCAGUGAGGCGUACUGGUCUCAUAUUGUGUGUUGGGAGAAGUGUUUUGAAUCUGUAAAUAAAAUGUAAUAGCGUGGCUGUUUAUGUAGUUCUAGUAAGUCAGAGCGUUUGAGCGUGUGAGUGCAAUGCAACGGUGAGACCACUUUGGAAGAUUCUUGACUUUUGGAAACAGUAGUUGGCAAAUGUAACCAACGUCACCAACAUUUAGUAGCUGUUCUGGGCGUUUUUGUUUCCAUCACUUGAUUUCCUCCAGCAGAAUCUCUACUUAACCCUCGUGAUGUCUUCCAUUCGACCAUGCACUUGUUGUUCUCCUGAGUCAAAAAUCAACACGUUUUUGUCUAUUUUUUACGACACUUUAACACAGGGUUGUGUCUCUCCAAAAGUUGAGUCGGUCUCAAAAUUUUCCCCCCAGGCCCGCUGUGUUUUUUUCUGUCUCCCCCCCUGCAGCAACCCACUACCCCCCAUUCAAUAUGUAUGGAAAGACCUGCAUUUGUUGUGAAUGCAGACUUACUCUUAAAUGAAGGUGUCUUUA